CAUACUGAGAGUUCCUUGGCAUUCUGUCCACCUCCUUGCCCAUCGUCAGAUAUAUGUGUUGCUUUUGGAGGUGGACAUACUGCCAAUGGAGCUGUGUAGG
rnacentral:pre_miRNA from 1 species